CAUGCACCACGUUGAUAGUUUCAAUUUCGCAAUUUGAUUUUGCUAGACUAGUUCUAGCCGAACUAGAAUACGACCAACGAGUCAGACUGGUCUAUCUAUAACGAGAUUACUAGUUGCACGUAUAGGACAUAUGCAACGGAGAACGCUGUCCGUCUGCAAGUACGAGUGCGACCAGGGCGACAUUUACGUUCGCCUAAACGCCUGCCACUUCUCGACUGACAUUACUUCACUCGACCGAGGUUCCUGUCCGCUCGGUUCCUUAUUGCGCGUUAGGCUGCGUCCACAUUGAUUUUCCAAGAGUCUUUGUAGUACAGGUACACCGGCAUUCAAAAGUACGGGCCCUGCAACUCCGCUGGUAACGCCAGGGGGGAGACUAGUGAUCCUAGGACCAGUGUUGAUGUCAGUUUCACCGGCUGUAGUCAAAGCACUAGUGACAGGAGCUUGCACUUGUCCACGCAUAGGACUUCCAAUGGAACUGUUGAAUGAAGGAUGCAAUCCAUGUCUAGGUGAAUUGAUAUUCUGUGAAGUAAUAUCUGAUGACAUUUGACCAUGUGUUGGACUUGUUUUUGGAGAUUCUCUUAUGACAUUGUUAUUAGCAAUAAUGGCCCUAGUAGGAUCACGAUUCGGAGAAUAUAAAGCGUACCUAAUCUCAAGUGUUCCGUGGAGCGAUUUGAAGAGUAAACAGGGGAAUUUCUAGCAGGAAAAUCUGGUCGAUUUUCUUGAUGAUGAUAGUUCCUUUCAUUUUGAGGCAUUGUACGAUUUGGA